UUUAAGCACUGUAACCUUGGCAAACGCACAAUGACCCAGUGAGGCUGCGACAGUGUUUGCACCGCGGCUGGACUCAGGUGGUAGUCCAGGCCUUUGGUGGAGGUGGUCUAGAUACACGCGAGAGAUGCUUUACCAGCGUUGUUUGCUGUUGUUCACUUUGUUCCUGUGUGUCCUCCUUGCUAUACACAUACAGUAUUUAAACGCUGAUCUUAUUCAGAUUUAGCCUUUUAAUUCCAUCCAUGACAGGAAAUGAGGUGAGAUACGCAUCAGAAUGUCAUUACUUCAUAGUCAGCAAAAGCUGCCUGUGAUACGGCAGAUUCUCUGCUCUGACACUCAGCCUUGCGAUGGCACCGCGACCGGUGGACGCCUGCGACUUUUGGUGGAAUGGAGAUAAAACUUUUUCCAAAUGCCAGCGAGUCUGUGGCAUUUAGGGACGUGGGAUCCUUUUCAUGAAUUCCGACUAAAUGGUCACGGCUCUUGUAGCCUGCUGCUGCUAAUUGAGACCAGUCAGCUACAACAAUGACGCUGAGGUCAGAGUCGCAGGCAGCUUUGUGUGCGGAUGGCUUUUAGAUAUCACACCUGCCAACCUCUGCUGGUGUUUUUAGCCAUUUUUCCAUUUGAUUUAUUGAGAACCUAUUGACUGUAAAUCCCAAUAAUAUCAUAAUGACAUCUAAGAUCUGCUGUUAAUGUUUAACUUAUCAAAAUAAAACACAAACCUUGAGCACAGAGCCUGUUUUCACACUUUGCCGCACAAUGUGUGAAGCGCUGCCAGUGUUUAAUGUGAUCUGGAAGAGAGCUGGAACUUCACAUUAACUCAACAUCAUGACUUAUUAGAGGAAACAGCAAUUAGUCAGACCGUAAUGUACAUGAAACAUUCCUCCAGUCAGACACUGAAUAUUCUCUCAUUUGCUGCGUCUUAUCGUGGGCAAUAAUGUGCGUAUUAACACAAAGCCCCUCAUCUGAGCUGUGCCACUGCAUCUUUCCUCUGUAUAAUGUCCCCACUUACUUUAGAAAACAGUGGGAUGAAGGUUCAGUACUGUAUGUCUCAUCAUCUGACGUUGUUCUGCUCAGACACGUGAAUUGCUUUUAAAAAGAUAUGGGUAAUACAGGAUCAGUCCGUGACUUGUUCUGCUAUUUACACAGAAGACCGUCAAACUAGUCUGUUAUUUCCCAGUGAGAGUAAACAGCUUUUUACUGCUCCUAUGUCUCACCAAUGGUAAAGUGAGUGCACUGACACCAGGUGGCAGGAGUGUCCUCCUUUACAUAGGUUGAAUCUUCUCCAUGUCAUCAACCACCCACAACCACCCAGUGUAGUUAGAUGUAAAUGUAAAAACAGUGAACGUGAUUCCAGCUAAACCUGCUCACACAGUCUAUGUGUAAAAGAGUGCAUGUAGAUGGAGCGUUCAGAGCUUCUGUCUGAUCUUUGUCCGUUGACGACGUCUCACACUCUCAUGUUGUCAACCUACAUCAGAAGUGACGCUAAGUGAAUAUUUGGUGUGAAGAGCAGAUUUUCAGUGCGUUCACACCUGGCCAUCGCUUCCACACAAAAUGAGUCACUGAUGAUCGGAAAUCACAAAUGAUCCCUGUGAUGGAGUUGGCCUUUCACCCUGUAAACACACACCAGUUGCUCGCAGCACGAGCAAAACAUCUAAGAUACAGACCAUAAUAAACACUUCCCCGCUGUUCAUACAGUAGACUGCUAAGGUGGAGCAUUUAAUACAAGCUAGUGUGUAAAUGAGCCUCAUCAGACCUCAUGACAGAGUUCGUUCCAUCAAAUGGAUCGCGUGGCCAUUUAUAGUCUUGACGUAAGGGUUGCUGCUGAGUCUGCUGAAACUCAGCCUUUCAAUGCAGUGCAGUGCAGAACUGAAAGUAAACGUGACGGGUUACAAAAGAGAAGCACAGCACAGAUGCACCGUACAACAGUGUCAUGUGAUGCUACAUUCCUGCAAACACAGCUUUAAAAAUGUGCCAUAGCCAUAACCACAUAUGCUGUGGGACAUGACUGGUAUGUGUGCGUGUGAUAUGUAAAUGUGUUAGGCCUUUUGUGUUGUGCAGGACAAACACUCUGACCUGAGACUGGUGGUACAGGACUGAGUGGGAACCAGUGGGAAACCACUAUGCCUCAUUACACUUGCGAGGCACCAAUGUCUGGGAGCGUCACACCAACACAAGUGAUCACGACAAGGAAUGGUGGCUGUUCGAUAACACGGGAAGGUUAUGUGUUCCUCCUUUCUGGGUGGACAGAACCACCCAACUUCUCUCUAUCCCCACACCCCAGCCGGUGGAGGCAGAUGGCCGCCCAUCCUGAGCCUGGUAUUGAAAUAAAUGGAACUUUCUGAAGUUAAUGUACAUAAAGAAAAAAAAAUCUAAUUAAAAGUGAUGUUGUUAAGCAUAGGUAAAAAACAGACAAUAAAAAUAGAAUCCAAUGAAACAUCAAGUUUCUUCCUCCCAUUACCAUGAAGUUUGGUUUCCUUUUAUUUUGGUUAUUGGCGUCACAUUAGGCCUCGUCUCCGAAAGCAUGACGCUCACCCAGAUCACUGCCUCUGCUUCUGUUUACACCAUUAUCUGUCUUCUGCAGACAUAAUUGUGCCUCGUCAGAAAUAGAAGGGCAGACGCAAACUGUAAUAAGCAGUCAUUAGAGCCACAGUGGUAAUGGACGAGGUGUGUGUGUGUGUGUGUGUGUGUGUGUGUGUGUGUGUGUGUGUGUGUGUGUGUGUGUGUGUGUGUGUGUGUGUGUGUGACAGGGAUAGACCACAGGCUUGAAGCAGGUUGGACGACUGUCAGCUCUUCAGUUUCACACUGGUAUUUAUUUACCACGUCUAAUAAAUAGUGACCUUUGAUGCGCUUGUAACGCUUCCAAUCAACUUUUUCCUUUAACUACAUUUAAAAAUGAAAUGAUUUCGUUUAACUGGCCUCUCCAGUCAAGCAGCUGGCCACCUGCCCUCAGACAGAAUGUUUUUUGUGAAAAGGUGCCGUCUGUGGCGUCUCAGCGGGUCGUGGCCCGUCACAGUGUCCUCCUUUGUGCUGAAUGAUGCAGCUCUGACAUGAAUUGCUCGUUGAUGUCAGCUGACUCCAAGGAGAAACCAAUGUGUUGUUGAGGAGACAAACUUAAACUGACCCACUUUGAGCUGCUCUUAACUUUUUAAUGAACUUAAUGAGCUGUGAUUACAGUCAAUGUGCAGAUUAACGCUUGCUGCCUGGAACCAUGACCUACUGUAUGAUGGAAAUCAGCCGCUUGAUGUUAAACUGGGUUGAAUCGCUGUGAUUGAAGCUCGUUGAAACACCAGCUGCACGGGAACAUGCCGUUCACAUUAAAGUGGGACAUCACAGCAGCUGGAUGAGUAGUGAGGUGUCGACGCGGUCGACGGGGAGAGGAGCUCGUAGCUGUUAGACUUUCUGGGACUGCAGAACCAAUAGGGCUGGUUUCUGGAAUGGGCCACGGGCAGCAGACUGUUUUGAUGUUUGACAGGUCUCUGUGGAAACUGAGCUUGGCUUUGUCGGCCGUCUGGUUUCCGGAGGCUGUGACAUCACCUUCUGGAUAUUCGUGGCGGUGUCGGCUCCGGGGAAGCAGAAACAGGAGACGACUGGACCGUCUUCCCUUUUUAUGAAGCGCUGCACAGCCUUCAGCAGAUUCCUGGAGCUACGGCCCACGGUCACAACGCAAACAGAUGUUUAUGCAAAAUCUGCUUUUUUUUGAAAAGAAUCAAAGACUUUCAAAAUAAGUGGCUCUUAUAUUAACAAACUGCAUUUGUGCUCAUUGAAGACAUUUUCAUGACAGAUUAGAAUGUUUGCCUUAGAUUUUUACAGCUGUGUAAUAGAAUAUUAUCCUGCAUUUACAGUUUAAUGUGUCAGAUUCAUUCUGAUUUCAUUUCAGUGCCUUCAUUCUUCUGCUGAAGACGCAUUAAUAUAUGACCCAAAAAUACCAUUAACAAACAACUCAGUUCUUCGACUCAAUCAUUAAAUAAAAUGUGUGUUUACUGUUUAGGAGUCUAAAUGUAACAGGUUGUUUCACAGUUGGACCCACAGCGACUUCUGCUGGUGAGACUGAACACUAAUAAAUGUCACUGCUCAGCUUUUCUUUAUUA